rnacentral:tRNA from 1 species
CGGGGUGUGGCGCAGCCUGGUAGCGCACUUGCAUGGGGCGCAAGAGGUCGCUGGUUCGAAUCCAGUCGCCCCGACCA